UAUAGUGUAUUAAUACUCACUCCAGGCCAGCCUCCACUGAUAUAGUGUAUUAAUACUCACUCCAGGCCAGCCUCCACUGAUAUAGUGUAUUAAUACUCACUCCAGGCCAGCCUCCACUGAUAUAGUGUAUUAAUACUCACUCCAGGCCAGCCUCCCCUGAUAUAGUGUAUUAAUACUCACUCCAGGCCAGCCUCCACUGAUAUAGUGUAUUAAUACUCACUCCAGGCCAGCCUCCCCUGAUAUAGUGUAUUAAUACUCACUCCAGGCCAGCCUCCACUGAUAUAGUGUAUUAAUACUCACUCCAGGCCAGCCUCCACUGAUAUAGUGUAUUAAUACUCACUCCAGGCCAGCCUCCACUGAUAUAGUGUAUUAAUACUCACUCCAGGCCAGCCUCCACUGAUAUAGUGUAUUAAUACUCACUCCAGGCCAGCCUCCACUGAUAUAGUGUAUUAAUACUCACUCCAGGCCAGCCUCCACUGAUAUAGUGUAUUGAUACUCACUCCAGGCCAGCCUCCACUGAUAUAGUGUAUUAAUACUCACUCCAGGCCAGCCUCCCCUGAUAUAGUGUAUUAAUACUCACUCCAGGCCAGCCUCCACUGAUAUAGUGUAUUAAUACUCACUCCAGGCCAGCCUCCACUGAUAUAGAGUAUUAAUACUCACUCCAGGCCAGCCUCCACUGAUAUAGAGUAUUGAU